AUUGAACGCUGGCGGCAUGCCUUACACAUGCAAGUCGAACGGCAGCACGGGAGCAAUCCUGGUGGCGAGUGGCGAACGGGUGAGUAAUAUAUCGGAACGUGCCCAGUCGUGGGGGGUAACGUAGCGAAAGCUACGCUAAUACCGCAUACGAUCUAUGGAUGAAAGCGGGGGAUCGCAAGACCUCGCGCGAUUGGAGCGGCCGAUAUCAGAUUAGGUAGUUGGUGGGGUAAAGGCCCACCAAGCCAACGAUCUGUAGCUGGUCUGAGAGGACGACCAGCCACACUGGAACUGAGACACGGUCCAGACUCCUACGGGAGGCAGCAGUGGGGAAUUUUGGACAAUGGGCGAAAGCCUGAUCCAGCCAUUCCGCGUGCAGGAUGAAGGCCCUCGGGUUGUAAACUGCUUUUGUACAGAACGAAAAGGUUUCUACUAAUACUAGGAGCUCAUGACGGUACUGUAAGAAUAAGCACCGGCUAACUACGUGCCAGCCGCCGCAGUAA
rnacentral:rRNA from 1 species